rnacentral:ribozyme from 15 species
GAAGAAGUAAAAGAGAAAAAACUAAAAGAAAAAUUAGAGCUUUUGACAGCAUGUUCUAGAAGAUUCCCAUUUUCUGCUUCAUUCUUCUGCUGAAUAUGCUCCGGAUCAUUUUCGUCCAAACUGGAUACAUUAAAUUUUCCAGAUGUAGUCCUAUCAAGAAUUAAUCCAAUUUUAUAGUCCGCUUUGCCUUCAAUUUUUCUAGAUAACUGCCAUGCAGUUUCCGAAUAAGAAA